rnacentral:rRNA from 1 species
AUUGAACGCUGGCGGCAUGCUUUACACAUGCAAGUCGAGCGGCAGCGCGGGGGCAACCCUGGCGGCGAGCGGCGAACGGGUGAGUAAUAGAUAGGAACGUGUCCGGGAGUGGGGGAUAACUAGCCGAAAGGUUAGCUAAUACCGCAUAUUCUCUACGGAGGAAAGCAGGGGAACCGCAAGGUCCUUGCGCUCGCGGAGUGGCCUAUCUCCGAUUAGCUAGUUGGUGAGGAAAGGCUUACCAAGGCGACGAUCGGUAGCUGGUCUGAGAGGAUGAUCAGCCACACUGGGACUGAGACACGGCCCAGACUCCUACGGGAGGCAGCAGUGGGGAAUUUUGGACAAUGGGGGCAACCCUGAUCCAGCCAUGCCGCGUGC